GAUGAACGCUGGCGGCGUGCCUAAUACAUGCAAGUCGAGCGAACAGACGAGGAGCUUGCUCCUCUGACGUUAGCGGCGGACGGGUGAGUAACACGUGGAUAACCUACCUAUCAGACUGGGAUAACUUCGGGAAACCGGAGCUAAUACCGGAUAAUAUAUUGAGCCGCAUGGUUCAAUAGUGAAAGACGGUUUUGCUGUCACUUAUAGAUGGAUCCGCGCCGCAUUAGCUAGUUGGUAAGGUAACGGCUUACCAAGGCAACGAUGCGUAGCCGACCUGAGAGGGUGAUCGGCCACACUGGAACUGAGACACGGUCCAGACUACUACGGGAGGCAGCAGUAGGGAAUCUUCCGCAAUGGGCGAAAGCUUGACGGAGCAACGCCGCGUGAGUGAUGAAGGUCUUCGGAUCGUAAAACUCUGUUAUUAGGGAAGAACAAAUGUGUAAGUAACUAUGCACGUCUUGACGGUACCUAAUCAGAAAGCCACGGCUAACUACGUG
rnacentral:rRNA from 1 species